rnacentral:misc_RNA from 1 species
UCAGCAAAAUACUGAACUGGUUUGAGUCCCGUUGUUAUCUCAUAAAAUUGAACAAGCGAUUGGAGAUUCUUCGGCCCAUGAUAUUGCACCUUAGAUGUCUGGUUGACCAGUAAUAUUGAUGGCAAGCUAUGAAUUCCAUAUCUUGAAAACAUGCUCGGGAGGGCUGAAGAUUGCUCAAUAGCCAAAUGCUCAAUUUGAGGGAACAUUGAACCUAGCAUACUAAAUUUAGGACGCAUAUUUUGAGAAAAUGGGCACCAGGAAGCAUAGAAGAGGACAGAUGUAUAUGAGGUUCUCUGUUUUGAAGUCAAAGCUCUGUCCAGGAAGUUCUCGCCAACAUCGAGAGGGGGAUUUGGAAAGAUAGAGACAGGGCAUGUAGACUGAAGAUCAUAUAAAAAGAAAGCAGAUUCAUCAGGGCAAAUAAAUUCCGACGCCAACAGGAAUGGAAUCGACGACAAAACCGCAACAUAGAGCCAGAGAACAGAAAGCAGAGCCAUUUCAGGGGCAGAAACGAGAAUAAACAACAGCUCCUAGGGCAAAAUAGGGAAACGCAAAAGACCCAACAACCGAAAAUGGAUGCACAGAGAAUCAAGGAGAAGAAUGAAAGAAAGAAAUGGCGAUCCCUCUCUU